rnacentral:rRNA from 1 species
CACGAACCGUACGAACGUUAUUCGGAAUUACUGGGCUUAAAGGGUUUGUAGGCGGCCUUGUAAGUCAGGCGUGAAAGCCCUCGGCUCAACCGAGGAACAGCGCUUGAUACUGCAAGGCUUGAGGGAGACAGGGGUAAGCGGAACUGAUGGUGGAGCGGUGAAAUGCGUUGAUAUCAUCAGGAACACCGGUGGCGAAAGCGGCUUACUGGGUCUCUUCUGACGCUGAGGAACGAAAGCUAGGGUAGCGAACGGG